AAAGAAGGCAGUUUUUUUCAUCAUUGUUCAGUACAUUACAAAUCGUAUUUAUCUGUCUUUAUCACACUUACUACAAAACAUUUGUAGAGGCGCUUUUGUAUUUACAGAAAUCUUUCGAAAGUUACAUUAUUCUAUUUGUGGGUUUGUGUGGUUUCAAUAAUCAUCAUUCACCGGAAAAUGAGAUUUUGUAUUGUGUGCGGUAAUUCUGAAGACGACGUAAAGCAUUUAUUUUGCUUUCCCCGUAGCGCAGACAGGUCGCAAAUAUGGCAGGAAGCUAUGGGAAUGAAAUAUAGACCACUAUGUGGCCAUGUUAGAAUCUGCAAUGAGCAUUUCACAAAAGAUAGAUUUGUGCCGUGUACCUCAGUUUUACGUUUGAAAGCUGAUGCAGUGCCUAGAAUUCUGGAAGUCCAGAAGGACCAUGUUAUGAAGGGACUGGGCCAGAUAGGAAAUAAAAAAGUAUUUACAUUAUAUCCCAAUAUAUAAUAAAGCCAGAACCACAGACUCUUUUGGAUACCAAAUCAUUAAGUAAUGCAAACAGUGAAGUUACUGAACAUGAGAAAACAAAUUCCUCUCAGUCACCAUCCCAACGGGCUGUCACACCAAUUUCAAGUACAGUUAGAUGUAGAAGGACUCUUUUUAAGGACGUUGAAGGCUUGUGUUCAACACAGAUAACACCAAGAAAGCAAAAGUUGAUGGUUAUUGUGAAGAGGAAGCAGGGUUGCAUAAGAAAAUUACAAAAAGUUUGCAAACAAAAAGGGAAAAGGAAUAAAACUUUAGAAAAUAUAACAUUGAAUAAUUGUUUCAAAGGUAAACAACAAGUAAUUAUAAUUUGUAUUUACUUCUAAACUAAUAAUUUUAUAUAUAAUAUAAUAUAAUAAUUUUUUGGCAGGCAUGCCAUCUACCAUAUCUAACUUUAUGAUGUCUCAGAUUUACAAACAACUUUGUCCUCUUGCAUAACGUUUUGUUUCAGUUUUCUUGGAAUCCCUAUGAUCUAAUGUUACUAGUUCUCAUUCAGUCUGUGUUUGUUAUGAAAAGAUGUGGCAUAGCAUUAUUAUUAUUGUGAAUCUUUGUUGUACUUAUGCAAAUACAAUUUGACAAAGCUCAA